AUUGUGGGAGUUCCUUCGGUCUACCGGGGCGCAGUCGUUGCUGUGCCUAAGGCUCCGGACUUAUUCGCCAUUGCGAGGAAAACCUCUCCCAAAUGCCUGCCCCUCGACCCGCGCGCCGUUUUCCCCGGGCGCCGCGGCCGCGUCCCGCGACGUCAUGCUACGCGGCCCUGCGAUUGGGUCGUGGGGCGUGACGUAGGGAAGAAGCCCCGACUGGGGACGAUCGCGGUGCGCGGGGGAGUCGUGCUGCGAGAGGGACGAGCGCCGGUCACGAGAGGCAAGCUGCAAGGUACGUGAGCGACCAGCUAUUUGUGUCCCCAACGUCCCGGCCUGGGGACGUUCACGUGCUUUGUUAGCUUGCGUAAGUGUGACUUGCUGAGUGGCUUUGCGUUCCGCCCUUGCGGUAGUCGCAGGCGCUCAGUGCGUCACAUUUUGCGUGUCCGAACCGUCGCAGACCAUUGUCGGUGACGGGAAGCGCUAGGUAGCGUUUGCGAACGCAUUUCGGCCCGCGCGCGUAAACCAUUGUUCGACGCGGCGUGUAACCCGCCUUCCUCGCCAUCGGGAACCGCGGGCGCCGAGUGUACUCCGUGUGUUUGUGUGCAGUCUGGUACAUGUUGGCCAUUGGUGAUCAAUAAACGCCUUAACUGUCCUGGACGCCGUGUGUUCCUGGGAGAGCGCCCAUGCGUACGGCCAGAGCCGUCCAGGUCUUUCGGCUCGGUGCUCGAACCUGCGGUGGGUCUAUCGCCGUGCGCCGUCGUGCCGCGUCGUGAGGCUCCACUUCUCGGGGGCCACUUGGCGACGCCGUGCGCAGAGACGUACUGUGAGCCCACAGUAUAUGUGAUUUAACUCAAGCUGGGGCAGUACCUUGCUUGUUCCAACGCUGGUCACAAUAAGCAACAUGCUGGAAGAAGAAGAAGAAGCGUAUCUGUUCGGUCGCUGUUUUUGUGCGGUGCUCUGAGUUUUCUGGUUUUUGGACAUUUACGGCUACCAUUGACGACGAUUGACCAACAAGACGUCGGGCGAAGGUUCAACGAGCCAGGCGCCUUACAGGCCAGCUUUGCCGCACGUCUGCCCGAACGUGCAGCCAGUAGACGAAGGGUCCGGCUACCAGGUUACCCCCUAGCAGGAGCAACGCCCGCAGCGUGGACGUGGCAUCCAUGACAGCACGAGCGCUGGAACCGAGACCAUCACGAGGUUGCCGGCUUCCUCAUUCCAGGAAAUCGUGAGCUCUCGCUGCCACUCUGGCCCGAUCUACAAGCCUUCGCUGGUCAUCCAGGCCUGGACAAGACAGCAUGACCUCCCACAGUUCUUCGAUCCUUCGCCUAUCCUGUCUUCUCUUCUUUGGCUCUUGCUUCAUUUUCCGCCUUGGUUGUUAUGGGAUUGCCGCACGCACACAUACACACAGGAUACAUGCAGGAUACACACACAUGAAUGAUACAAUUUCAAGGGAUACAGUAAAUUCCGCAACAGUCUCUUUCUAUUUCUAGGUAGAGAGAGACAAACACGCAAGAAAGAAUGAAAAGACAGAAAAAGAGCGAGGGGUAAAGAAGAAAUGAGAAAGCCUAAGGGAGAGAGCCUAGGGUAAAAAAGAAUCUCUUUGGCACUAGAAAGGCCCCCUAGCAAUUUUUAUAGCAAUGUUGAAAACAACAAAUAAAAUCAUACGGUUUUGACAGGCAUGAGCACAG